CCCGCUGAACUUAAGCAUAUCAAUAAGCGGAGGAAAAGAAACUAACAAGGAUUCCCCUAGUAACUGCGAGUGAAGCGGGAAAAGCUCAAAUUUAAAAUCUGGCGGUCUCGCGGCCGUCCGAGUUGUAAUCUGGAGAAGCGUCUAUCCGCGUCGGACCGUGUACAAGUCUUCUGGAAGGGAGCGUCGUAGAGGGUGAGAAUCCCGUCUUUGACACGGACAACCGAUGCUUUUGUGAUGCGCUCUCGAAGAGUCGAGUUGUUUGGGAAUGCAGCUCAAAAUGGGUGGUAAAUUCCAUCUAAAGCUAAAUAUUGGGGAGAGACCGAUAGCGAACAAGUACCGUGAGGGAAAGAUGAAAAGAACUUUGGAAAGAGAGUUAAACAGUACGUGAAAUUGCUGAAAGGGAAACGCUUGAAGUCAGUCGCGUCGCUCAGGACUCAGCCUUGCUUUUGCUUGGUGUACUUCCUGUUCGAUGGGUCAGCAUCAAUUUUGGUCGGUGGAUAAAGGCUCAGAGAAUGUGGCAUCUUCGGGUGUGUUAUAGCUCUGGGUUGUAUACAUCGGCUGGGAUUGAGGAACUCAGCACGCCGCAAGGCCGGGUACUUGUACCACGUACGUGCUUAGGAUGCUGGCAUAAUGGCUUUAAUCGACCCGUCUUGAAACACGG
rnacentral:rRNA from 1 species